rnacentral:rRNA from 1 species
AUACGGGGGGAGCAAGCGUUGUCCGGAAUCACUGGGCGUAAAGGGCGUGUAGGCGGGUUGGUCAGUCAGAUGUGAAAGCCUGCGGCUUAACCGUAGAUAUGCAUUUGAAACUGCCGGCCUUGAGUGCGAGAGAGGGUAGUGGAAUUCCCAGUGUAGCGGUGAAAUGCGUAGAUAUUUGGAAGAACACCAGUAGCGAAGGCGGCUACCUGGCUCGCAACUGACGCUAAUGCGCGAAAGCGUGGGGAGCGAACAGGAUUAGAAACCCCAGUAGUCC